AUUGAACGCUGGCGGCAGGCCUAACACAUGCAAGUCGAGCGAGCGGCGGACGGGUGAGUAAUGUCUGGGAAACUGCCUGAUGGAGGGGGAUAACUACUGGAAACGGUAGCUAAUACCGCAUACCAUCAGAUGUGCCCAGAUGGGAGUAGCUAGUAGGUGGGGUAAAGGCCUACCAAGGCGACGAUCUGUAGCGGGUCUGAGAGGAUGAUCCGCAACACUGGGACUGAGGCACGGCCCAGAAUCCGACGGGAGGCAGCAGGGGGGAAUAUUGGACAAUGGGGGGAACCCUGAUCCAUCCAUGCCGCGUGUGUGAAGAAGGCCUUAUGGUUGUAAAGCACUGUAAGCGAGGAGGCGUUACUCGCAGAAUAAGCACCGGCUAACUCUGUGCCAGCAGCCGCGGUAAUAC
rnacentral:rRNA from 1 species